UACGGGGGGGGCAAGCGUUGUUCGGAAUUACUGGGCGUAAAGGGCUCGUAGGCGGCCAACUAAGUCAGACGUGAAAUCCCUCGGCUUAACCGGGGAACUGCGUCUGAUACUGGAUGGCUUGAGUUUGGGAGAGGGAUGCGGAAUUCCAGGUGUAGCGGUGAAAUGCGUAGAUAUCUGGAGGAACACCGGUGGCGAAGGCGGCAUCCUGGACCAACACUGACGCUGAGGAGCGAAAGCCAGGGGAGCAAAACGGG
rnacentral:rRNA from 1 species